CAAUGCGGAAGUCCUGUCUCGGCUGCUCUGACAUAGGAACGUUCUUUGAGUUGUGAACGAUUUUGAAACGCCGAUUAGGUUAAAAGGACACAUAAAGAUGUCUUGGGAAGCGUACAGUAAACAAAUUAGGGAAAGUGGAUUCGUGGCAGGAGGUGUGUACGACCUGACAGGCAACCCGUGGACAGAAUUCUGUGACGAUCCGAAGUAUAAGUUCAAUGGGCCUCAAAAUGUUCCAAAGAUAUUAAAGGCCAUAAAGGAGACUGCUUCCUGUGGAGAACAGAUCUAUGUCAAUGAUAUGAAGCACAUGAUAUUAACAACAGACGACGAUAAAAUUGGAGAGCUAACCGGCAAACAUGAAGGGAAAUCUUCAUUAAUUGCCAUGCGCUGUGUACAGUGUGUGGUCAUUGGCAUUGGUGGGGAGCAGACAGAGCCCAGAAAUCUUAAAGAGAAGCUCUUAAAAGUUGCAGAUUACCUUGCAACCAGCGGAUAUUAGUAUUAAAGGUUGUGACAUAUAGACCAGUUUACCAAUUAAAUCUCCAGUUCUAUGCAUUUAACAUCAUCAGCUUGUGUUUGGGUCCUUGCCAGCUACAAAAGUGCAUUUCAUUUGUGAAUUAAAGUGCCAAAUUGGAUUUUGUGAUAAUUUUGAAAUGGCAUUAUGCCUGAAGACAGUUUUAUUAUUUACACAUGGUGAAAGAAUAGUUUUGCUUUUGGAGAGCUCUGCAUUACUGAUGUAACUUUAAUUAUCUUGUGUAGAGUUAUGUCUGCCUUGCGUUGACCCUUUUUUUGUGUUGUCUGCAUAUUUUUCUUUCAUAUAUUGUCAAUUUAUUUUCUUUUUUGCGGUGCGUGAGAACCAGGGGUCGUAUUCAUAAAGAAUAUUAGCGAAAAAAAUUCUACCUAGUGGAAAGUUUCCUUAUUUCUAAGUUGAAUUUAAAGAAAAUUAACAAUGUUUGUACAUCAAAAAUAUGAAAAUAAACAAUAAACAUUUUAACCAAUACAUGAAUGAUUUUGAUGAAAUUAGAGAGUAUUUUGAAUAUUCGUUAUGAAAAAUAGCGAUUUGUUCAUUCAGUUGAAAAUAUUCUCUAAAUUGCUUUUAAAAUGAAUACAUCCCUGGUAUUAAACCAAAAUCAAAAAUUUUAGUAAGAAUUUCUAAAACUGUAAUGGUUGAUAAUGUAUGAAAUAUCUGUAUUUGUUUUAAGUUUGUUUAGAACUACUAAUUAGGCCUAAAAAAAAUAAUUGUUUGGUUAGGGUUACAUCCUUAAAAAAAAUAGGUAGGGUAGGUAGGCUUUUUAUUUUUUUUUAUUUUUUUUUUUUAGUAGGUUUUAUAUAAGAAAAUAAUUUUCAUCAUUGGAGAAUGGUGUUAAAGCUAUCUUCUGUAGAAGCAUUUAAGGUUUAAACUUAAUAUUAAAAAGCAAUUUAAAAAAAAACGAGAUUUUUUUUUGUUUUUGUUUUUUUUUUUUAAUUUUUCUUUUGACUAUAAAAACAGUAGGGUCGGCGCCUAUUCCGUAGGUAGGGUCGGGUAACCCGAACCAAAUGUAUUUUUUUUUAGGCCUUAAUAGAUACAUUCUCAUGAUUUUCUUAUUAUAUUAACCUUCUAAUGUACAAUAUAGGAUUGAACCAAUAUCAAAAUAUUACUUUGAUUGUUAGACUAGAAUAUGUCUGUUUCUUUAUUAAAAGUUUGCACAUCAACAGAAUCAGAAUAAGGAUGUUUAAAUGAAUCAGAAUGAUAAACUUGUAAUAAUACCAUAAACUGAUUUAACUCCAUCGAUUUUUUUUUUACUGAGUUCAAUUUUAAUGCUAUGAACAUUUAAGAUCUAAUGGAUUAUGUAUCUCAACAGUAUUGUUUUGCUUUAUAAGUCAAUUUUUGAUCAUUUUUGUCAAACUUUGACCCCAUUUUCAGUAUUCAGUUGUGUUUGUUGGUAAUUUUUGCCCAAAUAUAACUACAUUUUACACUUGAGGUUGUGUACAUGUAUUAAAAUAACUAAUCCAGUAUACAUUUCUAUUUCCAUAGUUUAUUUCAUAUUUCAUUUUCCAUGUUAAGAAUGCCAUACCAAAGUUCCAGUGAUUACAAGACUAUGUUUCUUUAUUAUUAUUUGAUGAAGUGUAUCCAUUGAACAUUUAGUUUAUACACAUGCUCAACAGUUGGUAGAACAGCCAUUAUGUGCUAGCAAGAGUUUAUGUUUGUGUUGGUAGAACAGUCAUCAUGUGCUAGCAAGAGUUUAUGUUGGUAGAACAGCAACCAUGUGUUAGCAAUAGUUUAUGUUUGUGUUGGUAGAACAGUCAUCAUGUGCUAGAAAUAGUUUAUGCUUGUGUUGGUAGAACAGCCACCAUGUGCUAGCAAUAGUUUAUGUUUGUGUUGGUAGAACAGCCAUCAUGUGCUAGCAAUAGUUUAUGUUGGUAGAACAGCAACCAUGUGUUAGCAAUAGUUUAUGUUUGUGUUGGUAGAACAGUCAUCAUGUGCUAGCAAUAGUUUAUGUUGGUAGAACAGCAACCAUGUGGUAGCAAUAGUUUAUGUUUGUGUUGGUAGAACAGUCAUCAUGUGCUAGCAAUAGUUUAUGCUUGUGUUGGUAGAACAGCCACCAUGUGCUAGCAAUAGUUUGUGUUGGUAGAACAGCCACCAUGUGCUAGCAAUAGUUUGUUUGUGUUGGUAGAACAGCCACCAUGUGCUAGCAAUAGUUUAUGUUUGUGUUGGUAGAACAGCAGUCAUCAUGUUCUAGCAAGGGUUUAUGUUUGUGUUGGUAGAACAUCCACCAUGUGCUAGCAAUAGUUUAUGUUUGUGUUGGUAGAACAGCCCUCAUGUGCUAGCAAGAUUUAUGUUUGUGUUGGUACUGAACAGCCACCAUGUGCUAGCAAGAGUUUAUGUCUGUGCGUUUAUCUAUGAGGUUUGGUGCAAUUCAUAUAGCAUUUAGUUAAAUAAAACAGGUUUGAGUUCAUGGUCAUUGUUUUAACAUUAUUUAGUUUGACAUUGCAUCAAAUUAAUUGCCCUGCAACUUUUCUGCUUUGUGUCAUUUCUUAUUUGGUUUGAUGUGUAGCUGGAAUUAUGAUCAUGCAUAUAUUACAAAACGCAAAUAUAUGUAAAAUAAAAUUUUGAAGUACGUUUGAAGAAGAUAAUUGGUUUCUUGUAAUAUUCUUAACAUCUUAAGCCUCAGAAUCUUUUAAAAUGGCACAAAGUUUUCUCACAUUUAAGUAACUUAUUUUGUUUAACUGUCAUGAGAAGAAAAGACUGACAACUUAAGUGAUUUGUUAUUGAUAUGUUAAAAUCGGCUGAUGCUUGUAGUGGUCUUCGUUUCACAAUCCUGCCUAUCCUGCUUUUUAUGAUGUAAAAACUAAAAAAAGUAUGAAUCUGUAACAACACUUUUUGACUAGGAUGGGUUUUAUUUCUCAAUGAACACAUAUUGACAAAUAAUGUUAAUGGCUGAACUUUUCUUUACAAGGAGGUGGUGUUUGAAUGAAACCAUGUGUUUCCAUGUGUGCUAUUAUGCUGUAGAUUUCAACUGUAGUAUUCAUUCCAUGUUUAAUACCAAUAAAAAUAAAACCUAAA